rnacentral:lncRNA from 1 species
UAAACAUGAGUUCCAAGCGCCAGAUACAUAACUCUUGGCCCUUUGAUCCCUCUUCUUGCCCUAUGCCUCGCUGCAUUUUCUUGCUCACAGUCUCGCCCCACAUCUAGAACUCUUUCAUCGUGACCUCUGUCUUCUCAUCUUUUCCUCCUUUAUUUUGUUUAAAGCCUUCGCCGCCACCAGAAUUCAUGAUUCUCCUAGGUGUCGAGUCUCCAUCUUCCCUUAGCCAGCCAUGCAUGUGUCAAAAGAUUUGUCAGAUAGGAAAACAGAAGCAUGUACAUUGACUGGCCCGGGAAGCCAUGACUUUGGUAAUGAUUAGUUAGAGGGAAACCCUCCUGUAGCAGCUCUUUGAUCCAGAGAUCGCACAUGCCUCAAAUAAAGUAGAUAGCAGAUAGCAGAUUGGUUAAGUUAAGAACUGGAAAUUUAAUGUGAAACACACAUUUAAUUAAUUCUGGAUCUGACAUGAUACUGUGUCCAUCAUCAUUUGCAUGUAUCCAUGUAUUUAUACAAUCUAUUGGGUUGUUGCCUUACAGAAAUUUCUUCUGCAAUUUUCCUUCACGUACCGGAAUUGAGUCUUGAGUGUCUAAUAUUA